UAGACCCUGCAACAAUCCCUAGCCAAGAAGAACAAGAACCAUCAACCACCAGUUCAGAAACCCCACGGAGCACGGCGGGCAAAUGAAAGAAAAACAUCUUGGACUGACAUGAAAGGUGCGGAGCGAGGAGGGGAGGAACGUCUCGAUCUGGAAAUGGCGUCUGACACGACACAACUGAGCCCUGAGAUAGACUGGAGACUGUACCCUGCCUCUUGCCCUAUGACUUCAACUCCAGGCCUUGAAGAUCGGUGUCCU